UCUUGAUCUUCGCUUGGGCGGGGCCUGACAAUGCGACGCCGUGUGAGCGAUGAACGACUUAUGGUCGUCAAGCUCUUUCGCUUGGGAACCAGAGAWGYUGGAUAAUAUCCWCCUCAUUUGAGGGUACCAAGUAAAGAAGCACCGGCUAUCUCCA
rnacentral:rRNA from 1 species